rnacentral:rRNA from 1 species
AGUGAACGCUGGCGGUAGGCCUAACACAUGCAAGUCGAACGGCAGCACAGUAAGAGCUUGCUCUUACGGGUGGCGAGUGGCGGACGGGUGAGGAAUACAUCGGAAUCUACUUUUUCGUGGGGGAUAACGUAGGGAAACUUACGCUAAUACCGCAUACGACCUACGGGUGAAAGCAGGGGAUCUUCGGACCUUGCGCGAUUGAAUGAGCCGAUGUCGGAUUAGCUAGUUGGCGGGGUAAAGGCCCACCAAGGCGACGAUCCGUAGCUGGUCUGAGAGGAUGAUCAGCCACACUGGAACUGAGACACGGUCCAGACUCCUACGGGAGGCAGCAGUGGGGAAUAUUGGACAAUGGACGCAAGCCUAAUCCAGCCAUACCGCGUGAGUGAAGAAGGCCUUCGGGUUGUAAAGCCCUUUUGUUGGGAAAGAAAAGCAGCAGGUUAAUACCCCGCUGUUCUGACGGUACCCAAAGAAUAAGCACCGGCUAACUUCGUG